rnacentral:rRNA from 1 species
AUUGAACGCUGGCGGCAGGCUUAACACAUGCAAGUCGGGCGGGGUGAUGGUGCUUGCACUAUCACUUAGCGGCGGACGGGUGAGUAAUGCUUAGGAAUCUGCCUAUUAGUGGGGGACAACAUCUCGAAAGGGAUGCUAAUACCGCAUACGUCCUACGGGAGAAAGCAGGGGAUCACUUGUGACCUUGCGCUAAUAGAUGAGCCUAAGUCGGAUUAGCUAGUUGGUGGGGUAAAGGCCUACCAAGGCGACGAUCUGUAGCGGGUCUGAGAGGAUGAUCCGCCACACUGGGACUGAAACACGGCCCAGACUCCUACGGGAGGCAGUAGUGGGGAAUAUUGGACAAUGGGGGGAGCCCUGAUCCAGCCAUGCCGCGUGUGUGAAGAAGGCCUUAUGGUUGUAAAGCACUUUAAGCGAGGAGGAGGCUCUUUUGGUUAAUACCCAAGAUGAGUGGACGUUACUCGCAGAAUAAGCACCGGCUAACUCUGUGCCAGCAGCCGCCGUAAAAC